CUUCGGGUUAGUGGCGGACGGGUGAGUAACGCGUGGGAAUCUGCCCUCAGGAGGGGGAUAACGGUUGGAAACGACCGCUAAUACCCCAUAUGCCGAGAGGUGAAAUGAAUUUCGCCUGAGGAUGAGCCCGCGUCUGAUUAGCUUGUUGGUGAGGUAAUGGCUCACCAAGGCUUCGAUCAGUAGCUGGUCUGAGAGGAUGAUCAGCCACACUGGGACUGAGACACGGCCCAGACUCCUACGGGAGGCAGCAGUGGGGAAUUUUCCGCAAUGGGCGAAAGCCUGACGGAGCAACGCCGCGUGAGGGACGAGGGCCUCUGGGCUGUAAACCUCUUUUCUCAAGGAAGAAGAUCUGACGGUACUUGAGGAAUAAGCCACGGCUAAUUCCGUGCCAGCAGCCGCGGUAAUACGGGAGUGGCAAGCGUUAUCCGGAAUUAUUGGGCGUAAAGCGUCCGCAGGCGGCCUUUCAAGUCUGCUGUUAAAGCGUGGAGCUUAACUCCAUUAUGGCAGUGGAAACUGUUGGGCUUGAGUGUGGUAGGGGCA
rnacentral:rRNA from 1 species